CCAAGGCGCUUGAGAGAACUCGGGUGAAGGAACUAGGCAAAAUGGCACCGUAACUUCGGGAGAAGGUGCGCCCUUUGGUGUGGUCACGUGCGUGACUGAGCAUCGAAGGGUCGCAGUAACCUGGCCGCUGCGACUGUUUAUCAAAAACACAGCACUCUGCAAACACGAAAGUGGACGUAUAGGGUGUGACGCCUGCCCGGUGCUGGAAGGUUAAUUGAUGGGGUCAGCCCAAGGCGAAGCUCUUGAUCGAAGCCCCAGUAAACGGCGGCCGUAACAAUAACGGUCCUAAGGUAGCGAAAUUCCUUGUCGGGUAAGUUCCGACCUGCACGAAUGGCGUAACGACAGCGGCGCUGUCUCCACCCGAGACUCAGUGAAAUUGAAAUCGCUGUGAAGAUGCAGCGUUCCCGCGGCAAGACGGAAAGACCCCGUGAACCUUUACUAUAGCUUUACAUUGAACGUUGAGUUCUUCUGUGUAGGAUAGGUGGGAGGCUAUGAAACCGAGACGCUAGUUUCGGUGGAGCCAUCCUUGAAAUACCACCCUGAAGUGCUUGACGUUCUAACCUAGGUCCGUAAUCCGGAUCGGGGACCAUGUAUGGUGGGUAGUUUGACUGGGGCGGUCUCCUCCCAAAGAGUAACGGAGGAGCACGAAGGUACGCUCAGCGCGGUCGGACAUCGCGCACUGUGUGCAAAGGCAUAAGCGUGCUUGACUGCGAGAUCGACGGAUCAAGCAGGUACGAAAGUAGGUCUUAGUGAUCCGGUGGUUCUGUAUGGAAGGGCCAUCGCUCAACGGAUAAAAGGUACUCCGGGGAUAACAGGCUGAUACCGCCCAAGAGUUCAUAUCGACGGCGGUGUUUGGCACCUCGAUGUCGGCUCAUCACAUCCUGGGGCUGUAGCCGGUCCCAAGGGUAUGGCUGUUCGCCAUUUAAAGUGGUACGCGAGCUGGGUUCAGAACGUCGUGAGACAGUUCGGUCCCUAUCUGUCGUGGGCGUUGGAGAUUUGAGGGGGGCUGCUCCUAGUACGAGAGGACCGGAGUGGACGUUCCGCUGGUGUUCGGGUUGUCAUGCCCAUGGCAUUGCCCGGUAGCUACGAACGAAAGUGAUAACCGCUGAAAGCAUCUAAGCGGGAAGCACGCCCCAAGAUGAGAUCUCCCGAGAGCUAGACUCUCCUUAAGGCACCAUCAAGACUAGGUGGUUGAUAGGCGCGGUGUGGAAGUGCAGCAAUGCAUUGAGCUUACGCGUACUAAUGAGCCGUGAGGCUUGACC
rnacentral:rRNA from 1 species